GGGCCCGCACAAGCGGCGGAGCAUGCGGAUUAAUUCGAUGCAACGCGAAGAACCUUACCUGGGUUUGACAUCACUUGAAAACUCACAGAGAUGUGGGGUCCUUCGGGGCGGGUGACAGGUGGUGCAUGGCUGUCGUCAGCUCGUGUCGUGAGAUGUUGGGUUAAGUCCCGCAACGAGCGCAACCCUCGUUCGAUGUUGCCAGCGGUUCGGCCGGGGACUCAUCGAAGACUGCCGGGGUCAACUCGGAGGAAGGUGGGGAUGACGUCAAGUCUUCAUGCCCCUUAUGUCCAGGGCUUCACGCAUGCUACAAUGGCCGGUACAAAGGGCUGCGAUGCCGUAAGGUGGAGCGAAUCCCAAAAAGCCGGUCUCAGUUCGGAUCGGGGUCUGCAACUCGACCCCGUGAAGUCGGAGUCGCUAGUAAUCGCAGAUCAGCAUUGCUGCGGUGAAUACGUUCCCGGGCCUU
rnacentral:rRNA from 1 species